rnacentral:rRNA from 1 species
GACGAACGCUGGCGGCGUGCCUAAUACAUGCGAGUAGAACGCUGAAGAGAGGAGCUUGCUCUUCUUGGAUGAGUUGCGAACGGGUGAGUAACGCGUAGGUAACCUGCCUUGUAGCGGGGGAUAACUAUUGGAAACGAUAGCUAAUACCGCAUAACAAUGGAUGACACAUGUCAUUUAUUUGAAAGGGGCAAUUGCUCCACUACAAGAUGGACCUGCGUUGUAUUAGCUAGUAGGUGAGGUAAUGGCUCACCUAGGCGACGAUACAUAGCCGACCUGAGAGGGUGAUCGGCCACACUGGGACUGAGACACGGCCCAGACUCCUACGGGAGGCAGCAGUAGGGAAUCCUCGGCAAUGGGGGCAACCCUGACCGAGCAACGCCGCGUGAGUGAAGAAGGUUUUCGGAUCGUAAAGCUCUGUUGUAAGUCAAGAACGGGUGUGAGAGUGGAAAGUUCACACUGUGACGGUAGCUUACCAGAAAGGGACGGCUAACUACGUG